rnacentral:rRNA from 1 species
UACGUAGGGGGCAAGCGUUGUCCGGAAUCAUUGGGCGUAAAGAGCGUGUAGGCGGCCCGAUAAGUCCGCUGUGAAAGUCCAGGGCUCAACCCUGGAAUGCCGGUGGAUACUGUCGGGCUCGAAUCCGGAAGAGGUGAGUGGAAUUCCUGGUGUAGCGGUGAAAUGCGCAGAUAUCAGGAGGAACACCAAUGGCGAAGGCAGAUCUCUGGGCCGUAACUGACGCUGAGGAGCGAAAGCAUGGGGAGCGAACAGG